rnacentral:rRNA from 1 species
AACGAACGCUGGCGGCAUGCCUAACACAUGCAAGUCGAACGAGACCUUCGGGUCUAGUGGCGCACGGGUGCGUAACGCGUGGGAACCUGCCCUUAGGUUCGGAAUAACUCCCCGAAAGGGGUGCUAAUACCGGUUAAUGUCUUCGGACCAAAGAUUUAUCGCCUUGGGGUGGGCCCGCGUUGGAUUAGCUAGUUGGUAGGGUAAAAGCCUGCCAAGGCGACGAUCCAUAGCUGGUCGGAGAGGAUGAUCAGCCACACUGGGACUGCGACACGGCCCAGACUCCGACGGGAAGGAGCAGUGUGGAAUAUUGUACACUGGGCGAAAGCGUGAUCCAGCCAUGUCGCGGGAGUGAUGAAGGCCUUAGGGUUGUAAAGCUCUUUUACACGAGAUGAUAAUGACAGUACCGGGAGAAUAAGCACCGGCUAACUCCGUG